ACGGGUGAGUAACGCGUGGGAACAUACCUCUUGGUUCGGAACAACACAGGGAAACUUGUGCUAAUACCGGAUAAGCCCUUACGGGGAAAGAUUUAUCGCCGAGAGAUUGGCCCGCGUCUGAUUAGCUAGUUGGUGGGGUAAAGGCCUACCAAGGCGACGAUCAGUAGCUGGUCUGAGAGGAUGAUCAGCCACAUUGGGACUGAGACACGGCCCAAACUCCUACGGGAGGCAGCAGUGGGGAAUAUUGGACAAUGGGCGCAAGCCUGAUCCAGCCAUGCCGCGUGAGUGAUGAAGGCCCUAGGGUUGUAAAGCUCUUUUGUACGGGAAGAUAAUGACGGUACCGUAAGAAUAAGCCCCGGCUAACUUCGUGCCAGCAGCCGCGGUAAUACGAAGGGGGCUAGCGUUGCUCGGAAUCACUGGGCGUAAAGGGUGCGUAGGCGGGUUUUUAAGUCAGAGGUGAAAUCCUGGAGCUCAACUCCAGAACUGCCUUUGAUACUGAAAGUCUUGAGUAUGGGAGAGGUGAGUGGAACUGCGAGUGUAGAGGUGAAAUUCGUGGA
rnacentral:rRNA from 1 species